GCCGGGUGUGGUGGCGCACACCUAUAAUCCCAGCUAUUCUGGAGGCUGAGGCAUGAGAAUCGCUUGAACCCAGGAGGUGGAGGCUGCAGUGAGAGUGAGCCGAGAUCACACCACUGCAUUCCAGCCUGGGUGACAGAGCUAGACUCUGUCUCAA
rnacentral:SRP_RNA from 1 species